AGAGGUUUGAUCCUGGCUCAGAACGAACGCUGGCGGCGUGCUUAACACAUGCAAGUCAAGUGCGCGUUCUUGUAGCAAUACAGGAAUGGCGCACGGCGCACGGGUGCGUAACACGUGGGUAAUCUGCCCUCCGAUGGGGAAUAACCCCGCGAAAGCGGGGCUAAUUCCGCAUAACAUUCCUUGGACUCCGGUUCGAGGACUCAAAGGCGUAAGUCGUCGGAGGUGGAACCCGCGCACGAUUAGCUAGUUGGUAGGGUAACGGCCUACCAAGGCUUUGAUCGUUAGCUGGUCUGAGAGGAUGGCCAGCCACACUGGAACUGAGACACGGUCCAGACUCCUACGGGAGGCAGCAGUGGGGAAUCUUGCACAGUGGGCGAAAGCCUGAUGCAGCGACGCCGCGUGGGGGAUGAAGCAUUUCGGUGUGUAAACCCCUUUCGACUGGGACGAAUGCCUCGCAAGAGGAGUGACGGUACCAGUAUAAGAAGCCCCGGCUAACUACGUGCCAGCAGCCGCGGUAAGACGUGGGGGGC
rnacentral:rRNA from 1 species